rfam:Lysinibacillus xylanilyticus strain DSM 23493 Scaffold1, whole genome shotgun sequence.
AACAAAGGAUGUUAGCCUAAAAUCAUCGCAUCCAUGCGAUAACGGCUAACUGACCUGCAUCAUGGAGG